UUAUUUUUAUGGGCUCAUACUGGAUGUAUAGAGGUGUUGAUACGAGAGAUGUGCAAUUCGGCCCAAAGGCAUCCUGUUUUGGGGCCCAUUGUCAGCUGACCCCUCAUUCUGUUUACCAGGAAGUUACUUGACAGGGGAGGGGUGAUGCCAUUUUCAUUUGGCAGAGAUUCGGCCCAUUUACUACAAUGGGAAAUUUUAAAUGCUCAAUCCCCAGUCAUUUUAAGGUCUAUUUGCAUGAAACCUACCUCAGUUUUAGACCCCUUUUACAACUGCAAGCCUGCCAAGUUUUUUAAAAAUCGCCAAUCUAUGAUUUUUUAGAAUUAUUUAUAACAUGUUUUAAAACAAGACAAAUCACAAGAGAGGUUUAUGAGAACUGUAGUUGUUGUUUAUGUCCAUUCUCAGCAUGGACACCACCAGGCUUUUUAUUGGCUGAGAAACACACAGAGAGAAACUUCAAUUCCCAUCAUUCUCCGAGAGGAACCCGGAGACUAUUCAAUGCCCGUCCCAUGAAAGUGCUGUUGAGAAAGUGAGUUCCCAGCAGAGCCCUCUCUGGAGGAGGAGCCUAGGAAACUCCAAAAAGAAAUGGAUGCUGCUGCUGCUGCCGGGAAGGGGAGGGAGAAAAGAUGUGGCAGAUCCCUGCCUCAGGGAAUGAAGCUGAAGCACAACUGCAGGAGGAUGGCAUUGUGAAUAUUGCCACUGGAAGAAAAGGAGGUGCUUUCCCCAAGCAAUUAUAUACUGAUGGUAUGUCGCCUUAUUGUUGUUCCAUUUCUGAUAACAGGCUAAAUGGAUGUGAGGUUCAGAGGAAAGGUAUCAUGUUGAGAUGAAAGAGUCAGCCUGGGAGCUGCAAAAGCAUUUAAGUGCAAUUUGAAAAAUAAGAUUUAUUCCACAUGUUAGACCUCUUUUGCAGUUUCUAUUCUUCAUCCCUUCCAUGAUUCUCAUGCAAUUAGAUUCAAAAAAUUACAGAUUGGGUAUACUAAUUUUGCACUUUAGGGGGCUCAACGUAGGCAAACAGUCAUUAAAAGCCCAAACUCGCUGGGCUCAAAGAUUAAUUUGAAUGUGAAUGAAAUGUGUUUGCAUGAAUGUCUGUGAUUUCCAUUGAGAUAUUUCUUCAGAAGUAGUACAUAAUGAAUUAGACAUUAUUUUUCUCUAUACCCAUGUCAUUUUAUUGAAAUCCACAUAUUUGUUUAGUGAUUUCUCUGUGUAUCUUGCUAUUCCAUUCAAAAUUGCAUUCAAGGUAGAUAGCAGCAGUAAAACACAGAAAAGUAGAAAAUGAAAAUAAGGUAAUUAAAAACACAGCGAUAAUAGAGAAAUAAAAAACACUCCCCAAUUAAACAGCCUUUAGCACAUAUAUCAACCUUAAAGCCUGAAUCAUGGUAGAAUACAAACAUAUUUAAUUGAUGAUGAAUGGGUGAUAAAAAAAAACCCAGCUGAUCCAACUUUCCUUGAUGAAGAGUUCAAGAUCCAGACAGCAAUCACUAAGAAGCACACACACACUUUUUUUCUUGACAAAUGUGCUUCUGAUGGUCUCAGACAAAAAAAAAAAAAAGGAAAAAAGAGGAUACACAGCAACUGAUUCAAAAUGCAGGAAAAGAGAUUUCAUCUAAAU
rnacentral:lncRNA from 1 species